UUUUAAACUAAUGUUUCAUUUGACUUGACUUUUUAAAUUAGAGCCCCCAUCCUUUAGUUUGUAAAAGGUUUUGAGUAUUUGUUUGAUUUAUAUUUCUUUGACUGUUUUUACAGCUAAAAUUGAAUUUUUUAAAGAUGUUUCAACCUUUGUAAGUCAGGCACUCUCCAUGAAUCUGUACAUAUAAAUUAUGCCUUGAUCUGAUGGGUAAAAAUAACUAUCCAAUUCAUGCAUUUUCUAUUUGUAACUCAAUUUAGAACAAUCGGAAUUACUGUUCCUGCGUCGCGUUUCUUGAGAUUCAGUCGUGGAGUUUAAUAUUACUGAUAGAGGUAAUUUUUUUUCUUCUACUAGAUUUUUUCAAUUUCCACUCAAUGAAUUUCAAUUGUUGUGUAAUGGAAAGAUGUGUUUGCUCUUGGUUUCCUAUUUGAUCUGUUGAGUGAUUUAGAAUGAGCUGUUUAACUGACCAUUUAUUUUUUUAAAUGGGUCUCUGGCACAAGUUUAUACAUUUUUUAUGUGCAUAUUGAAGAAUUAGUGUAGUUGGCCUUUCUGGGAAAAAAAUCAUAAAAAUAAGAGAAUUUGAUUGAAAUGCUGAUGAACUUUUGGGUAAGCUAACAUAUUUCUAUGGUGGUGGUUUUUGUUAAAGGUUGACAUUUGGUCGUAUUUACAUUUAAAUGCAGCUGAAAAAAUUCUUCCCCCUCCCAUUGACGAGCUGUUUAUUUGUUAGUUUUUUUAUUUUUUGUUAUAAAGUUUGUGGUAUGUUUUAGUUUAAAUUGGAUUCAAGAUUGAGAGUAUUGUGAGUAUCUUUUUCGAUGGUUGCAAAGAAAGUGUUGAUUUUGUACUUAAGUAUAUAUGAUUCCUGUGAAGUGGCUGUGCAUCCACUAAUUUCUACGCCAGAUAUAUUUUCAAAUCUUUUUGGAGUGAGUAGUACUUAUGAGUUUGUAUAACAGUUUACAAGGGUGCCACUUGUGAAACCUAUGCUCUCAAAUAGGAAGAUGAUGGUGUUCGUGAUUCGACUUCUUUAGCCACCUCCAUCUAUGAAUCAAGUGAUGUUUGUCAUGUACCGUUCCUUGAUCGAUAAGUAGAAGCUUGGGUUCAUAAUGUGAAAUCCUUGGUUAUAUCUCAUAUCAGCAAAGAAAUUUGGAUAACAAUAUGAUCACUAUAACCCCUUGAAUCCGAAUUUGUUGUUCAUAUGCCGGCUUCAUAUAUGUUACAUAUUGGCACAUUCAAUUAUCUAUUGAUUAAAUGUAAUGUAGUGUUUACUUCUUCGAUAGCUCAUCUGUAGGUUUCCUUUUGUCCCUUUUCUUUGUGUAAGUUUCCAAAGCAAGGUAAUAAGUUUGUUUCUAUAUUCUUCUACAUAUACAUUCCAUGAAGUGAAAAGGAAAUGUGAUAGGAGAAAAGAGGUAUUGCUACUAGUGAUUUAAUGCCAUGUAUACUGUAGCUUUACUCAUACCUGCUCCUAUAUGAUUUAAUUUUAAGUUCACGAUGAUAUGUAAGAGAUUUGUGGUGCAUUCCAAGAUUAGGCACAGGUUGCAUGUUUAUGUGAACUUGAAUGUUAAAGCCAAAAUAUGUACAUUCCCAUAAGAAACUUGUUGAUCAUAAAACAGUGAAAUCGGCAUUUUUAGGAUGUGUCAAACCUGCUUAGGUAUUUUAAAAGUAUUACUUGAUUGAUUAAUUUACCUUUCAUGGGUAAUAGAGGAAGCUUUUUAAUCUAGGUGUAGAGUCGAUUUAUGACUUUCUGAAUCCUGAAAGCAUCAACGUCAUGAUAAAAAAGUUGCAGUCAGAUUGGAUUAUGGACAUGUACAUGGUCCAAAAAAAAACUAAUUCCUUUUGGAUGAUUUUGGACAUGUUGGGUAGACUAGGACACAUUGCCGUCGCAAUAGCAACAACAUGCUAUCUCGUUUCAAUUUUGAAAAGAUGAAAAGCAUGGAUAAGAGCAUAAUAUAAUAACAUGAUAAAGUUUUAGAUUGAAAGAACACGAAAAGUAAAGCUAUACAUAUUACUAAAGGAUGGCUUUGCCGGCCUCUUUUACCAUUAGUACACCUACAAGGACAGUGCCGGCCUUGGCCCAAGGCAAACUAGGUCAUUGCCUUGGGCCUCAUAAUUUUGAGGGCCUCACAUAAGGUGGGGGGAUGGGGAGGACCUCAAAGCUAUCUCUAAUUUUAGAUUUUUUUAUGACCCUUCCUAAUAAUAUAGAUUUCUGGCAUCAUUAAAACAAAUUCUAGAUUUUUGACUUGACACCAAUAUAGAAACUUCUUCAAACAAAUUUGACCUUACCAUAAGGAAAGAUUAUCUGGCAACAUGAAAUUAUUUUACUUUUGCAUUUUUGUUAAUUAAGAAAUAUACCAUUUUGACAAAAGAAAUCAAAAUUAAGAACAAUUUCCUUUCAGCCACUAAAUUACAUCUAUUAUAUUACUUCACAGUACACAAAUAAGAAGAGAUAAAAAUUAUUAUAUAUUAUAUAAUCUCUAUGUUAGUAAGAAAUAUUUAAUUUAAUGUAUGAAUUUUACAUUUGCAUUCUUAUAUUUAAUUCCUCAAUGAACAUUUGAUAACUCAAAUGUGCGUACCAAUUCCUUUUGCAUCUCAAAAUGUGAGAAUAUUAAAUAUUCUACUAGUCUAAUCUCUCGAGUUGCGAGAGAUGAUUUAUUUUGCUACUCUAUCUCUUUAAUUGCAUGAAAUCUUCAUUUUAAUAUAGAAAUGUUAUUUUGUUAAAUAUUUAAGUACACAAACACACAGAUAUAUAUAUAUAUAUAUAUAUAUAUAUACACACUCAAGGCUGGCCUGUACAAGGACCUCAUUAAAAUGUUGCUCAUUAGGAUUGCUUCACUAAAAGCUAUUAAGAGUUACUCGCACCUUCGGUUGACUCCUGUUCGUGGAGAGUUUUACAACUUUAAGAUUACAUAUUUAAUUAUCUAUAGUUGAAAAUAAUAAUUUGUAUGAGUUUAAUUGAAACCCACUUAUUUACAGUUAAGUCUGGUCGUAGCUUGUGCAAAUGUUUAAUUUGGUGCUUGUAGGAUAGUUAAUAUUUGCCCAAUUGCAACAUAAGGGCAAAAUUAUCAUUGCUUGAUAUCGUCCAUUUGAUUAGUUUAAAAGCUUUUUUAUAUACCCUAAAAAAGGUGUCCAGUUUCGUGGAAUUCAAAUUUAGAUAAACUUUUUAUAGGUUGGGUUGCGGAAUCUCUUGCUACUGAAAAUCAAGUGUCAUUAUUCAAGAGUUCAUUAGUUAUUUGAUAAUUAUUAUUAAUACUGUCGAUCGUUCUAUUUCUGAUAUAAGGUACAAAAUUUUCAUGAAAUAUAACUAAACACUGUUUCUUGUUGAAAUUAAUUUUCCUAUAAAUCCAAUUUUCCUUACUUAAGAAAGGGAUAACUUCAUAUACAGGGUUAAACACAUCAUAGAAAAAUGUGUAAAGUAUAUUUCAUGAUCACUUUUCAUUUUAUUUUAUUUUUAAUUUUCAUUCCAGCAAUUGCAUUUAAAGUGUUCAUUAUAGUUUUCUUUAUCAUUCUGGUUUUCGUUUAUGGGGUAAAUAGUUCUUUCAUUCAGAUAUGAUGCCGUUCUGGUGGCCUUUAUUGGUGCUCGCAUUUGCAUAGGAGAUUUGUAGAUUCCUCCUUAUAAACAUCCCUUCCAACGUACCGUCUCUUCAUGUUGACAUCUCUCUUGGUUCUGCUCUACUCACUACGCGUGUGUAUUUUUUGUUCUUUAUUUUUUCAAUCCUGUAUGGACUUUGUAUAUGUUAAAAAAAUGUAUAUGUUAGAUAUCUGAAUGCUAGGGAUACACGCACAGAUAGCUUGAUUCUCUAUUGCUAACGAAAUACACCUACAGGUUUAGGGGGGAAAAAAAGAGAGGGAGAGAACAAGAAUUUAGCUAAAUCUAUAUUUCUCUAAUUCUUCUAAACCAAUAAUAUAUGCGUGUAAAAUUCAAUGGCUACUUAACUACAAUAUAUUGUGAGUGCAUUCUUAGAUUGGGUUUUAGCAUUUCUCUGAAUUAGAUGAUUUUCUGUAACUUUUAAAUUUUUAGUUUUUAUGUAUAUAAAAGUUAGCGCAUAAAUAAUCACGCAAAUAUGUGCAUUGGUGACAGAAUUUUCUGUGAAUUGGAUGAUUACAGUGCUAGAUGAUGGAAAUCAAACAGAGAAAAACACUUCUAUGUAAGUUUUUAAAAUACUGUUCAUUUUGCUAUUAGAUAUAGGUCAUUUUUCUUUCAAUAAAGUGAAUUAUACAUUCUAGAUGAAUUUUAUUUCCUUUUUAUAUUUUUAUGUGCGUCAAAUGAAAAAUUAAAAUAUUAAACACAUUUGAGAAUAUCUGAGCUUGCUACGAAUAUAAGGACAGAAAAUUACUUUCUAUUGUAUAUCCAAGCUAAGUAGCUUCCCUCCCCUCCAACGAAAUCCAUCAUUUGAGAAUAUCUGAGCUUGUUGUGACGAAUAGAAAAUAUAAGGAUAAUCAUCUACAAUUAUAAGCUUACUACAACUAAAAAUUUUAUAUACGCUAUAUGCAGUUUUAUAUAUACUUCUACCUGGAUAAUUGCUCCGUGUUUUUUUCUCUCUUAGCAAAUUAUUUAUUACCUUUGUUUUGUGGUUCUAACCACCUCAGUUAUGUUUAUACUUGUAGGUUAUAACUAUCAAUGACACACAGAAGAAUUGGUUUCGUUGGAGGAACAGGGGCCACUUGAAACAUUAUAGAAAAAUGAACUGUAGGUAUAAAUGAUAUACAAAAGAAUUUAUGACAAAAAUGCUUAUUUUUUCAGCACUACAACAAAUCACAUUUAAGUAACUCCGAUGGGAUGCAUGUUCUGAUUGUUCAAGUUUCAUUCAAUGCUUUCCUUGUUUCCAUCAACAAUAGCCAAAAGAAUAGGUUAAUCACAUGUUCAAAACAUGCUCAUACAUACAAUUUCCACAAAUUUUAAAAUCGAAGUCUUGGCAGUAAAAUAUAUCUAGCGACUUCUAACUGAAUUGGUCACGUGUAAGAUCAUAUUGGAAUCUAUCUCUCAUCUACACCCAUUUGCAAGCACGGUCACAUAGAUACAGAGGCAUUCUCAGACAUAUCUCAUCCUAAAUAAAGUAUCUAACUUUCCACUUGAUUGUGUAUAGAAUUAAAAAACUUAGUGAAUUGGCACAAUGUAUUAUUCUGGAGUUGGUUGCUUAGAUUGUUUCUCAGAUAGAAAUGAAUCUUUGACAUCAUCAUGCGAAUGAUGCAGCUAUUUUAGCAACCAUUAAGGUGUUUCUACAAUUGACCCUUUAGACUUCUCAUGACCGAUGUUCAUCAACAGGUACAUACAAUUUCAUUCUUAAGUAUCAUCUUUAAUUGACGCUGAAAUUUGUUCUAUUUGGUUUUUUCCAUUGAAUUUACUCAUCCAAACUUCAAUUUUCUUCUUCAGAAGUUGAAUAGAGUAUUCUUAUGAUCUGUCUUGCUGUUUUUGCAAUGUUGAAGAUUUACUUGUUGACAUAUCUUAGACUUGUUUCUAAAUCUCUUUUAAGGAGAAGUUCCUAUACACAUCUAGAUCUCAUUGCUUCUUCUGACACAUGAUUAUUGUUUGAGGAACUGCUGAAGGAACACUAUCAUAGUUGGCAAGUCACUGCAUUGUAAAACCGUCAAAUGAUUCUUUUCAGCAUAUCAUUCCAUCCUUUUAUUCUCCAUUUAGUCCUCCUGUAAGUUGCAUGUUGUGAAUCCAAAAAUGCGUGGAUCUUUAAAGAUAUUUUACAAAUUUAAUCUCUACACAGUUUUGAGUCCUGUUAUAAUGGUGCACAUCAGGCCAAGUAUAAUUCUCAAAUCUCGUAUACAAUUAAAUCAAAUUUAGCAAUGUCCUUAUUCUAAAUUCUAAGCUCUUUUGCUUCAGAUAAAGUAUAUCACAUAUGAAGUUUUCUGUUUCAGCUUACCUAUAAAUUAUGUAAUAUCAUUUGCAGUAAACCUUUCUCUGCCAGGUGCUAUUAUGGUCUCGUGCCUAUUGUGGAGCCUGAAAUUCUUCUGGAUGGAGACCACCCAAUUGAGAGGACACUUGAAUUAGCAGAGCGUUAGCAGAGAACAAUACUAUCUUUGAAGUCAUUCUACAUAAACCUUCCAUGGUAGCUCCAAGUGCUGAGGACAAAGAGUAGGCUUUUCCAAAUACCAUUAUCAAAGAUACACUCACCAUGCUCAAAAGGAGAGUGCCUCUGACAGUUCUAGGAAUCAUGGUAUAAAACUCAACCCCCUGUCAAUUAAGUUAAUACUGUGAAUUUGCCCCUCGGGGUAUAGUCCAGUAGUGCAAAGGAUAAGAGUGAGGUUAUCUCAAGCCUUGCUGGCAGCCGCAAUGUGGGGGUUCGAUUCUUGAGACAUGAAAUUGGACUCCUUGUAGGCACAGUGUACAGACAGUUCUUGUUCCCCGACCUGUUGGGGCAUAUUUCGCGAUUUACUUCCUUCACAAAGCCCCGGGGAGGGGGGGGGAGGGGGUGGGAGCCCUCAAGGUUGGGACUCAACCUUUUUUAGUUAACACUGUGAAUUUUAAAUCUUUGAGUCCCUAUGUAAACAUCACCAUUAUGAUGUCGCAAGUUUCAACACGUCAUUACUAAUAUCAAUAUUUUGACCAUUGAAGAGUACACUGGGUCAAUUAACACUGAUGAGGGUUUCAAAUUUUGAAAUUCAAAAAAUUUGCAAUUGGAGCUUGAAAGGGUGUUUGGUGAUGUGAGUAGGGUGGGAGAAAAAAGUUUGGACUCUAUGCGAUGGGAUAGAUUGGUAAUUAUUGGUGAUUUUAGACAUUUUAGGAAUUUUAUUAUUUUAUUUAUUGAUUUCUUUGUGUUGUUUGCUUUUGUUUUCAUUUCAUUUCAUUUCUUUUUUUUGUUUUUCUAAAGAAUAUAUGGGAAUUAAGUUUAAAAUUAAGAUUUUGUUUUUAUAAUGUAAAAUACUAGCUAGGGAUAUGGUCCCAUGUCAGAUCUUAUUAUUGAGUUUUUGCUCAUGGUUUUGGAACCUAAUUUCAAAUAUGUUUCUUUAGGCGGUGUGUACUAAAGGUUAUGACUUUAUCGAGUUUUUUAGUCAUGCUGCUGCAUAAAGCAAUGUGUUUACAUAUAAUGGUUUGCAAUUUUUAGGGAGAAUUGCAACCAUGGCUCCAAGUCAUUCAUUUUAUUGCAGACUUCAAUCAAACCUUUUGUUUGUACCAUUUAGAGUCCAAAAUGUUUUAUUUCAUUCGAGC
rnacentral:lncRNA from 1 species